rnacentral:lncRNA from 1 species
GACCUCUACUCAAGGAAGUAAAGGAGACUUUCAAGCAGUGAACUUUGAUGGUGAUAGAGAGUGAUGGAUAACCCGACAGCAAAUAAGAGCCACAUUCCCUGUCCGUCUUGGAUGGCCCAGAAUGGCUGGUCAGCAGCUUCAUCUCAGAACCCGCUCGUCAACCUUCUCCCCAACUCCUAUGAGCACAUGCAGGCAUCCAAUCAGAGUUGUACUAACAACUUGAACACUGUAUCUUCCAGAAACAACCCUCACGCUGACAUGUAUAAAACCUCUCAUAUUGGCAGCAUUCCAUCAUCCAGCUCGCUGUUUGCCACAGAUAUCCCAAAUCUCUCUCAAGCUCUUCGACAGGCAAACCAAGGACUUCAGCUUUGUGGGCCCCAGGAUUUAUCAGUUCUCUCAUCCCACAAUGCCUUCAAGACAUUUCAAAAUCCAGUAUCCAGUCUGGGUUUGUCAAGUGGGAUUCAAGGCCUACCCCCCCGCCUGCCGUCAUGCAGACAACAUCAAGCUGCUUUUGAAGGAGAAAAUGUGGAGUCCGCACAUGGUGCAGGAAACACUCAAAGCUAUACCUCAUCCACCUCUCAGGAGCAGCCUGAGUGGUUACCUUCAUCACAUUGCAGAGGAGCUGUGAAUGACCCUGUCCCAAAAGCAGCUGUUCAAAACAAAAACACAAAUAAAUCUACUACGGCCAGCAGUGAAAAGCGGCGUUCAGAUGUUUUACAGCAGCGCGCUGAGCUGCUUAAACAACUGGCAGAGAUGGAUAAACUUCUGAAAGCACUGCCAUCAGAUAACAGCAGCGAUGGGCAGUCGUCAGAUGAUGAGCCACCUCAGUGUGAACAGACUGCUGCAAAUUCAAAGUCGCGUAAUUCAGCAAAUGGUUCUUCACCUUCAUACUGUGACGAGCAAAAUGAUGCUUGUGAUACGCCAGAGUCACCUGCAGAAUCGCUGAAAAAGGAAGUUGUGUCAGACAUGUCAGGGGAGGACGAUGAUCACGAUUACUCACCAGGGAGUGAUGAAGAGUUCAAAGAAGGUUCUUCAGAUGAAUCCAGUCAUAGCGAUCCAGAGUCCCCCGUGAGUGAAGAACCGCACCAAGAAGAGCAGAACUCAAAAUCAGAAAAUUCUUCAGGAAAGGAUAAAGGAGUCACUCCUGUAAAGAGCAAACCUAUGAUUAGUCAGGCAGAAGCGUCACAAACGCCAGUGUUGCCAGCUGUAAAACGACCAAAUUCAAAAGCUCGCUUUUAUGACAAGAAGAAUUACUGCUUGUUUUGCUCCAAGCCGGUGUUAAAACUGUCACGGCAUUUUGAGUCAAUUCACAGUGACAAACCAGAGGUUGCAGCUGCAUUUCAGUAUCCCAAACACUCCAAAGAAAGACAAAAUAUAUGGAAAAAAUUAACAAAUGAAGGAAACUUUGCACAUAAUAAAAAUGUUUUGAAAACAGGAGAGGGAACUCUUGUCGUACGACAGAGACCGAAAGUGCUUGGACAGGCCCGUGACUUUCUUCCUUGUCUUCACUGUCAUGGUCUUUUUGUGAAGAGAAACCUGUUCAAACACAUGAGGACGUGCCCAGCGAAAAGCAAGAUUGAAAAGGAUAUUGGAAAAAAGCGCAUUGCAUCAAUGUGUGUGCUGGCAACUUUGGACUGUGAAGACCGUGGCAUAAGUGAUGUCGCUAGGAGCAUUCUGAAUGAAAUGAUAUACGAUGAUGUGACGCGAGCUGUUAUGGAUGACAGGAUUCUCUUGCAGUUUGGGGAAUACAUGUACAAUCAUUAUGGCCGUGAUGCGAAAAAGCACCCAUAUAUAAGACAAAACCUUCGUCAGAUAGCAAGACUUGUGCUUGAGGCUCAAAAAACAACCCCAAUGAAGAAGCUGGAGGACUUCUUUCACCCUUCAAACUUCCAGCGUGUGGUGUCUGCAGUGAACGUCCUGGCAGGCUAUGAUUCAGAAACCAAAAUUUACGUCGCUCCUUCCGUUGCAGUCAAGCUUGGUCACAGCCUGCAGAAGACCUGCAGUAUUGUUAAGGAUAACGCGGUAAAGUCUGGUGAUACAAAACAGGCAGAGGCUGCUAAAAACUUCCUCUCUGUGUACCAAAAGAAGUGGACUAAGCUUGUUUCUUCGGCCGCAUUAAGAAGUCUCAGAGAAAUUAAAUCAAAACGAGCAAAGCAGAUACCACUUGUUCAAGAUAUGAAGCGCUUGCAUUUCCACUUGGAGAAGGUUCAUACUACAGCUGAGAAGAAUCUACGAGACAGUCUUUCUACAGAAAACUUUGUCGCGCUGGCCAGGGUCAUGCUUGCCCGGAUAAUCCUCUUCAACAAGAGAAAGCCUCGAGAGGUUGCAACGAUUCAGCUGACGGAAUUCAUGUCACGAACAAAAUCAGAUCCACCUGAUGACUUGGACCCGUCUGUCACAGAGUUGGAAAAAACCAUGUGUAGGUUCUUCACCAGAGUUGACGUACGUGGGGACUGCGGGAGAAAAGUCCCUGUUUUACUGAAGCCCUCAUUUGAGUCGGCUCUGGAGCUUCUAGUGGAUUCUCGCGAGGCAUGUGGAAUCACCAGUAAGAAUCCCUUCGUCUUUGCCCGACCAAAUGCUCUGUCUAACUACAGGGGGACAGAUUGUCUUCAAGGAUUUAUCAAAGAAUGUGGAGCUCAAAACUCUGAAGGUCUGACAUCAAAAAAUGUCCGCAAGCAUUUUGCAAAAAUGCUACAACUGAUGAACCUGGAUGAAAAUGAAGCCAACCAAAUUUUUGGGCCUAAUAACAAAAUCCAGAUCCUGCGGCAGUGCAAUGACUCCACACUGGAUGAUAUUGAAAUGGAUUCUGAAGCUGAGUCGUGGGAUCAUAGUGAAGGCAGACCAGCAUCUCUUAAUCAACAAAAACGUGGAGGAAAAAGUGCCAACAAAUCUAUCAGAGGCUCCAAAUGUACACCCAAACACAUAUGGGGGGAUGCUGAGGUUCGUGCUGUAGAAAAACACAUGAUGCGCUUCAUUCAGGAGCACAAAGUGCCCCAGAAGGAUGACUGCGUCAAGUGUCUUGAAGCUGAGGCAAAAGCACUGAGGAACCGCACGUGGAAAGGUCUAAAGAACUACGUCCGAAACAGGAUCACAACUCUGAAAAGACAAAGUGACUCUUCGCAGGAUUCACCGACCAGCAGCAAAAGGCCCAGAGAAGCAGAACCACAGAAAACGAGACAGCCUACGAGUGGACGACAAGCUGACUCACAGGAUCACGAUGAAGGCUCUACUGCAGACAAUGGAGAGGCACCUUUUAAUCAUCAAAACGCACAUGGAGAAACAAGAAGCGCCAGCAAGACUACACGUCCCAAAUCUGUCAAAUCAGGUGGACAAGGUUCCCACCAUAAAACUAAACACACGUGGGAGGAGGCAGAGGUCCACGCUGUAGAAAGACACAUGAUGAGUUUCAUUCAGGAGCACAAGGUGCCUCAGAAAGACGACUGCAUGAAGUGUCUUGAUGCUGAGCCAAGAGCGCUGAGAAACCGCACGUGGAAAGGUGUAAAGGACUACGUCAGAAACAGGAUCACAACCCUACAAAGACAAAGCAGCUUCUCCCUGGAUUCACCGAAAAGCAGGAAAAGGCCCAGAAAAUCAGCGGAGCCACAGCAGAUGAGACAGUCUGCAGGUGGAGAACAAGCCAGUUCAUGGGAUCACAAUGACUUCUCCUAUGGAGCUGGUGGAGCAGAAAUGUUUUAUCACCAACAAGAACAUGAAGACACGACAAGCUCCAGCAAAACGAGCAGAUCUGUCAAAUCCAGUGAGAAAGGUUUCCACCAUAAAACUAAACACACAUGGGAGGAGGCAGAGGUCCACGCUGUAGAAAGACACAUGAUGAGUUUCAUUCAAGGCCACAAGGUGCCUCAGAAAGACGACUGCAUCAGGUGUCUUGAUGCUGAGCCAAGAGCGCUGCGAAACCGCACGUGGAAAGGUGUAAAGGACUACGUCAGAAACAGGAUCACAACCCUGCAAAGACAAAGUGACUGUUUCCAAGAUUCACCAAAAAGCAGAAAAAGGCCCAGAAAAUCAGCGGGACAGCAGAGUACUCCACAUUACCAACAGCUGUAG